UUUUAGCCCGGCUUUCCACUAUAUCUUUUUCUUUUUUUUGCCAAAAAAGAAAAAGAUAUAGUGGAAAGCCGGACUGAUC
rnacentral:sRNA from 1 species